UAGCGGAGGAAAAGAAACCAACAGGGAUUGCCCUAGUAACGGCGAGUGAAGCGGCAACAGCUCAAAUUUGAAAUCUGGCGCAAGCCCGAGUUGUAAUUUGUAGAGGAUGCUUCUGGGUAGCGACCGGUCUAAGUUCCUUGGAACAGGACGUCAUAGAGGGUGAGAAUCCCGUAUGUGACCGGCCCGCACCCUUUACGUAGCUCCUUCGACGAGUCGAGUUGUUUGGGAAUGCAGCUCUAAAUGGGAGGUAAAUUUCUUCUAAAGCUAAAUACCGGCCAGAGACCGAUAGCGCACAAGUAGAGUGAUCGAAAGAUGAAAAGUACUUUGGAAAGAGAGUUAAAAAGCACGUGAAAUUGUUGAAAGGGAAGCGCCUGCAAUCAGACUUCGCGGCAGUGUUCCGCCGGUCUUCUGACCGGUUUAUUCUCUGUCGCGAGGCCAUCAUCGUCUCGGCCCGCUGGAUAAGACCCUUGGGAAUGUAGCUCACCUUCGGGGGAGUGUUAUAGCUUCAUGGUGAUGCAGCGAGGCUGGGGCGAGGUCCGCGC
rnacentral:rRNA from 1 species